rnacentral:rRNA from 1 species
GACGAACGCUGGCGGCGUGCUUAACACAUGCAAGUCGAACGAAGUGGCGAACGGGUGAGUAACGCGUAAUCAACCUGCCCUUCAGAGGGGGACAACAGUUGGAAACGACUGCUAAUACCGCAUACGGAAGAGGGGGAUGGCGUGUGAUUGGCUGGUGGGGGGGGUAAGGGCCCCCCAAGGGGAUGAUCAGUAGCCGGUCUGGGAGGAUGAACGGCCACAUUGGGACUGAGACACGGCCCAGACUCCUACGGGAAGCAGCAGUGGGGAAUCUUCCGCAAUGGACGAAAGUCUGACGGAGCAACGCCGCGUGAGUGAUGACGGCCUUCGGGUUGUAAAGCUCUGUUAAUCGGGACGCGGUACCGGAAUAGAAAGCCACGGCUAACUACGUGCCAGCAGCCGCGGUAAUUC